rfam:Paenibacillaceae bacterium GAS479 genome assembly, chromosome: I
GGAGAAGUGUCCGAGUGGUCGAAGGAGCACGAUUGGAAAUCGUGUAUACGUUAAUCGCGUAUCGAGGGUUCGAAUCCCUCCUUCUCCG